rnacentral:rRNA from 1 species
UACAGGGGGUGCAAGCGUUGUUCGGAAUUAUUGGGCGUAAAGCGCGUGUAGGCGGCUUUGCAAGUCGGGUGUGAAAGCCCUCGGCUCAACCGAGGAAGUGCGCCCGAAACUGCAGAGCUUGAGUACCGGAGAGGAUGGCGGAAUUCCCCAAGUAGAGGUGAAAUUCGUAGAUAUGGGGAGGAACACCGGUGGCGAAGGCGGCCAUCUGGACGGAUACUGACGCUGAGACGCGAAAGCGUGGGGAGCGAACAGG